rnacentral:RNase_P_RNA from 13 species
GAACACAGCGAGACAACAAUCGCCAGGGGCUUCGGCCCUGAUUCUCGUGAGAGAAGCCGCUGGAAAGCGGUUGUGGGCGCUGUCAUCAGAAAUACACAUGUUGGCCGGCGCUAUCGCCGCACCAAUGUGAUGGGAAAGGCAGCGGAUGUCUCGUUUGACUUUGCCUUAGGGUAAAGGUCUGUUGAGUGCAAUGGUAGGAGGCCGCUUUAUGGUGGCCAA